AACGAACGCUGGCGGCAUGCCUAACACAUGCAAGUCGAACGAGACCUUCGGGUCUAGUGGCGCACGGGUGCGUAACGCGUGGGAAUCUGCCCUUGGGUACGGAAUAACAGUUAGAAAUGACUGCUAAUACCGUAUAAUGACUUCGGUCCAAAGAUUUAUCGCCCAGGGAUGAGCCCGCGUAGGAUUAGCUUGUUGGUGAGGUAAAAGCUCACCAAGGCGACGAUCCUUAGCUGGUCUGAGAGGAUGAUCAGCCACACUGGGACUGAGACACGGCCCAGACUCCUACGGGAGGCAGCAGUGGGGAAUAUUGGACAAUGGGCGAAAGCCUGAUCCAGCAAUGCCGCGUGAGUGAUGAAGGCCUUAGGGUUUGUAAAGCUCUUUUGCCCGGGAUGAUAAUAGACAGUACCGGGAGAAUAAGCUCCGGCUAACUCCGU
rnacentral:rRNA from 1 species